GAGCGGAUGACGGGAGCUUGCUCCUUGAUUCAGCGGCGGACGGGUGAGUAAUGCCUAGGAAUCUGCCUGGUAGUGGGGGACAACGUUUCGAAAGGAACGCUAAUACCGCGUACGUCCUACGGGAGAAAGCAGGGGACCUUCGGGCCUUGCGCUAUCAGAUGAGCCUAGGUCGGAUUAGCUAGUUGGUGGGGUAAUGGCUCACCAAGGCGACGAUCCGUAACUGGUCUGAGAGGAUGAUCAGUCACACUGGAACUGAGACACGGUCCAGACUCCUACGGGAGGCAGCAGUGGGGAAUAUUGGACAAUGGGCGAAAGCCUGAUCCAGCCAUGCCGCGUGCGUGAAGAAGGUCUUCGGAUUGUAAAGCACUUUAACUUGGGAGGAAGGGCAGUAAGCUAAUACCUUGCUGUUUUGACGUUACCGACAGAAUAAGCACCGGCUAACUCUGUG
rnacentral:rRNA from 1 species